AGUGAACGCUGGCGGUAGGCCUAACACAUGCAAGUCGAACGGCAGCACAGUAAGAGCUUGCUCUUACGGGUGGCGAGUGGCGGACGGGUGAGGAAUACAUCGGAAUCUACUUUUUCGUGGGGGAUAACGUAGGGAAACUUACGCUAAUACCGCAUACAACCUACGGGUGAAAGCAGGGGAUCUUCGGACCUUUCGCGAUUGAAUGAGCCGAUGUCGGAUUAGCUAGUUGGCGGGGUAAAGGCCCACCAAGGCGACGAUCCGUAGCUGGUCUGAGAGGAUGAUCAGCCACACUGGAACUGAGACACGGUCCAGACUCCUACGGGAGGCAGCAGUGGGGAAUAUUGGACAAUGGGCGCAAGCCUGAUCCAGCCAUACCGCGUGGGUGAAGAAGGCCUUCGGGUUGUAAAGCCCUUUUGUUGGGAAAGAAAAGCAGCAGGUUAAUACCCCGCUGUUCUGACGGUACCCAAAGAAUAAGCACCGGCUAACUUCGUG
rnacentral:rRNA from 1 species